rnacentral:rRNA from 1 species
AUUGAACGCUGGCGGCAGGCCUAACACAUGCAAGUCGCACGAGUGGCGGACGGGUGAGUAAUGUCUGGGAAACUGCCUGAUGGAGGGGGAUAACUACUGGAAACGGUAGCUAAUACCGCAUACCAUCGGAUGUGCCCAGAUGGGAUUAGCUAGUAGGUGGGGUAAAGGCUCACCUAGGCGACGAUCCCUAGCUGGUUUGAGAGGAUGACCAGCCACACUGGAACGGAGACACGGUCCAGACUCCUACGGGAGGCAGCAGUGGGGAAUAUUGGACAAUGGGCGCAAGCCUGAUGCAGCCAUGCCGCGUGUAUGAAGAAGGCCUUCGGGUUGUAAAGUACUUUCAGCGGGGAGGCGGUACCCGCAGAAGAAGCACCGGCUAACUCCGUGCCAGCCGCCGCGGUAAUUC